UUUGUUGUUUUUGAAAUCAAUUCAGAAGUCGGAUGUGAAAUGGAUGCCGAAAUUUUGCUUUUUUAUUUCGCUGCUGUGGAACAAAUUCAGCGAUGCAAGUUUCUGCUCAAAGUGAAUCAAUGGUCACAAUGGUCACGUACGAGGUCAUCAUGGAGCAUAUUGCCACGGACUGUGUAAUCAACGUCAACUUCCCUUAUUUGGAAUCGCUACUGAACGAGUUCAAAUCUCCAAAAAGUUCAUCAAAGGGCAGAUUUUGAGCGACUAUCGAGCUGAAUGUGAAGUUUGAUCUGAUCCGGGAUGCUAUCGACGACGAUGUGGCCGAGGAACUCAAGCCCAAACUAUCCGAUCUGUGCUCCGUCAUCAAGAAGUUUCCCUGUCCGACGCCGAAACAUCGGCUCUGUCAGAGCGAAACCAUCCAGCGGUUGGCAUAUCUCAUUCGACAUUCUCCGCUCAGGAUCUGCAUAUUAACAGCUGUGCGUUCAUGCGAAAUGCACUCGACAAAGCGACCUUUGCCCCGGGAGUACGUGCUCGAGAAAUUGCGGCUUAUGCUAAGCGCGUUUCUGGACGAGGAUUUGCGGAAGUAUGAGAUAGUGUUUGAAGGAAAAUUUAGAUGUUAAUUUUAGUUUAGUUUAGAUUAUUACUGCAAUAGUGAAAUAAAAAUACACUCAAGAAUAAAUGAAUGGACACACAUUCUAUCGUAGGCAAAAAAUCUAUUGUAAAAAUAUAUGGCAUCAGCGCGUUUGAAAUGAAUCAUGAUAUUUGUGUAUGUUUGGGAAUAAAAUAAUUUGGCAUAUGGAUAAGUACAGUGCAACUGGA